GUUACUAUACGUCUCUGUCAGUGGAAGAGGUCCGGCAUCCUGUCAGAAAAAGGCUGAGAGAUGGGUCCCAACUGGAACAGGCUGAUAAUCGAUCUGCAGUCCUCAACUUCAGCAGAGACCCAGGUUCUGACAGAGGUGCUAACCCCUUCGCUCCCCAGAGUCCUGUCAAUCAUGGCGAAAGGUGAAGAGUUUGGGGAGGAGGGGGGGAAGAGGAUGAGACGGGCACCGCAGGAAUCUGUGAAAGCCACAUACACAAAAGCAGCGGAAUCGGAUUGUGUAUGUUUGUGUGUGUCUCCGGAACCAGUUCUCCAAAAAUCAAGACGCUCGUUCGAUCCGACAGUGAUCUCUGAACCAGGGGACAAACACCAAAUGGGAAAGCUUCUAGCAAGAGCAAAGACAAGAAAUAGAUUGAUCAUAAGAACAUUAGAAAAAAUGAAAUCAUUACCCCCGCACAAAACAUCCCCAAAAUAAUUCAAUGUUCCUAUCUGCAAUGUGGGAUUCAUUCUGUUAUUUUGUAUUGUGUGGUGAACUGAGCAGAUGCAAUGAUAGCUACACAAAAGAAUAUAAAAAUCUUUGGUUAAGAAAAAAUCUCUCCUGAAGCAGAGACAUAACGUAGCUGAAGUAAGACAUCAAAGGAGUUCUUUGCAACUUUCUCUUUUCACUAAAAUAAUCUGGAAAUUGCAAGAUAACAAAUAUAUAAUAUUCAAUCCAAAUGAAUAUUAUUGCACAAGCAAUACCCACUGCGACUCUGCAGCACAAUCAUAAUUUUUUAAUAAAAUGUUUUAUCAUGUGUCUCUGUUUAUUCAUAUACCCUUUGUAACUUCCUCAACUAAUUAAGAGGAAGUUGGGAUUCCUAUAUGCAUUGAUCUGUAUGAAAUAAAAUCGAAGUAUCUUG